rnacentral:rRNA from 1 species
AGCGAACGCUGGCGGCAGGCCUAACACAUGCAAGUCGAACGAACCCUUCGGGGUUAGUGGCGGACGGGUGAGUAACACGUGGGAACGUGCCUUUAGGUUCGGAAUAACUCAGGGAAACUUGUGCUAAUACCGAAUGUGCCCUUCGGGGGAAAGAUUUAUCGCCUUUAGAGCGGCCCGCGUCCGGUUAGCUAGUUGGUGAGGUAAUGGCUCACCAAGGCUACGAUCAGUAGCUGGUCUGAGAGGAUGACCAGCCACAUUGGGACUGGGACACGGCCCAAACUCCUACGGGAGGCAGCAGUGGGGGAUCUUGCGCAAUGGGCGAAAGCCUGACGCAGCCAUGCCGCGUGGAUGAUGAAGGUCUUAGGAUUGUAAAAUCCUUUCACCGGUGAAGAUAAUGACUGUAGCCGGAGAAGAAGCCCCGGCUAACUUCGUGCCAGCAGCCGCGGUAACAC